rnacentral:rRNA from 1 species
GAUGAACGCUGGCGGCGUGCUUAACACAUGCAAGUCGAACGAGAAGUGAAGACGGAAACCUUCGGGCGGAAGGCUUUAUUUCGAGUGGCGGACGGGUGAGUAACGCGUGGGUAACCUGCCUCAUACAGGGGGAUAACAGUUGGAAACGACUGUUAAUACCGCAUAAGACCACAGCACCGCAUGGUGCGGGGGUAAAAACUCCGGUGGUAUGAGAUGGACCCGCGUUCGAUUAGCCAGUUGGCGGGGUAACGGCCCACCAAAGCGACGAUCGAUAGCCGAUCUGAGAGGAGGACCGGCCACAUUGGGACUGAGACACGGCCCAAACUCCUACGGGAGGCAGCAGUGGGGAAUAUUGCACAAUGGGGGAAACCCUGAUGCAGCGACGCCGCGUGAGUGAAGAAGUAUUUCGGUAUGUAAAGCUCUAUCAGCAGGGAAGAAAAUGACGGUACCUGAGUAAGAAGCCCUGGCUAACUACGUG